rnacentral:misc_RNA from 1 species
GUAUGUUUUUAUUGAUUAAAGUUCAUUGCUUUUCUGUGGAUUUGUGGAUACUGAAGUUAUAACGUACUGCAAUAGUUGGGUGGCAACCAUUAUCUUAUUUACCUAUUGAUUUUACCUUUUACUAAAAAUACAAUACUUCCUUACUUGAUUGUGUUGUCUUAUUUCUUAGAUCUGUUGUUCCUGAAAAGGAAGUGUUUAUUGGAUUGUUCAAUUUGUUUUGGAAAUCCAUUGGCUAUAUAGUGCUUGUUAAAGGGGUUAUUUCAUGGAAAUAUAUAAAUGAUCCAAGCUGUCAGUUUGCCAUAUUCUUACAUUAGUUUACUUGCUGAGUUGUCAGGAAGCUAGAGAAAUCUUACUGA